AAUAUUGGAUAAUGGGCGAAAGCCUGAUCCAGCCAUGCCGCGUGUGUGAAGAAGGUCUNCGGAUUNUNAAGCACUUUAAGUUGGGNAAAAGGGCAGUAAGUUAAUACCUUGCUGUUUUGACGUUACCGACAGAAUAAGCACCGGCUAACUUCGUGCCAGCAGCCGCGGUAAUACGAAGGGUGCAAGCGUUAAUCGGAAUUACUGGGCGUAAAGCGCGCGUAGGUGGUUUGUUAAGUUGGAAGUGAAAGCCCCGGGCUAAACCUGGGAACUGCUUUCAAAACUGCUAAGCUAGAGUACGGUAGAGGGUAGUGGAAUUUCCUGUGUAGCGGUGAAAUGCGUAGAUAUAGGAAGGAACACCAGUGGCGAAGGCGACUACCUGGACUGAUACUGACACUGAGGUGCGAAAGCGUGGGGAGCAAACA
rnacentral:rRNA from 1 species